rnacentral:rRNA from 1 species
GAUGAACGCUGGCGGCGUGCCUAAUACAUGCAAGUCGAGCGAACAGAUGAGGAGCUUGCUCCUCUGACGUUAGCGGCGGACGGGUGAGUAACACGUGGAUAACCUACCUAUAAGACUGGGAUAACUUCGGGAAACCGGAGCUAAUACCGGAUAAUAUAUUGAACCGCAUGGUGCAAUAGUGAAAGACGGUUUUGCUGUCACUGAUAGAUGGAUCCGCGCCGCAUUAGCUAGUUGGUAAGGUAACGGCUUACCAAGGCAACGAUGCGUAGCCGACCUGAGAGGGUGAUCGGCCACACUGGAACUGAGACACGGUCCAGACUCCUACGGGAGGCAGCAGUAGGGAAUCUUCCGCAAUGGGCGAAAGCCUGACGGAGCAACGCCGCGUGAGUGAUGAAGGUCUUCGGAUCGUAAAACUCUGUUAUUGGGGAAGAACACAUGUGUAAGUAACUAUGCACGUCUUGACGGUACCUAAUCAGAAAGCCCCGGCUAACUACGUG